rnacentral:tRNA from 1 species
GCCAGAUUAGCAGAUUAUGCGCGUGAUUUAGGAUUACGAAGGGAGUUGGUUGUGGCA